rnacentral:rRNA from 1 species
UACGUGGGGUGCAAGCGUUAUCCGGAUUUAUUGGGCGUGAAGAGUUCGUAGGUGUCUGGUCAAGUUUCGUUUGAAAUCCCGAGGCUCAACCUCGGAUCCGAACGAAAUACUGAUCAGAUUGAGUCUACUAGGGGGUACUGGAACUCGUAGUGUAGCAGUGAAAUGCGUUGAUAUUACGAGGAACACCGAGGGCGAAGGCAGGUACCUGGGGUAUGACUGACACUCAGUGAACGAAAGCUAGGGGAGCGAAACAG